rfam:Phycisphaerae bacterium L21-RPul-D3, complete genome.
UGUCGGGUCCCAUGCAAGCUUCGGGACGUGAACCUGGUCAGGCGGGGAACCGAGCAGCCAUAAGCGCUUCCGGGCUGUGCGUGGUAAACCCGACACCU